CCUACGGGAGGCAGCAGUCGAGAGUAUUCGUCAAUGGGCGAAAGCCUGAACGAGCGACGCCGCGUGGAGGAUGAAGCAUUUCGGUGUGUAAACUCCUUUUCCAUCGGAGCAAAGUCGCAAGACUGAUAGUACGGUGGGAAUAAGUGGCUGCAAACUUCGUGCCAGCAGCCGCGGUAAU
rnacentral:rRNA from 1 species